rnacentral:rRNA from 1 species
UAAGGAAUAUUGGACAAUGCCCGCAAGGGUGAUCCAGCCAUGCCGCGUGCAGGAAGACGGCCCUCUGGGUUGUAAACUGCUUUUAUUCGGGAAUAAACCUAUCUACGUGUAGAUAGCUGAAUGUACCGAAGGAAUAAGGAUCGGCUAACUCCGUGCCAGCAGCCGCGGUAAUACGGAGGAUCCAAGCGUUAUCCAGAUUUAUUGGGUUUAAAGGGUGCGUAGGCGGCUUAUUAAGUCAGGGGUGAAAGACGGUGGCUCAACCAUCGCAGUGCCCUUGAUACUGAUGAGCUUGAAUGGACUAGAGGUAGGCGGAAUGUGACAAGUAGCGGUGAAAUGCAUAGAUAUGUCACAGAACACCGAUUGCGAAGGCAGGUUACCAUGAUUUAACUGACGCUGAGGAACGAAAGCGUGGGGAGCGAACA